rnacentral:lncRNA from 1 species
CUGCAAGAUUACCAAGUGGAAAAGAAGAUGAAAGGAGACUGAAGGCAAGAAGCUAAUCCUGAAACCUGGAGGAGGAGAGAAGAGGGGACACCAGAGUUGCCCUCAAAUAUACAAGAGAUCCACAGCUGAAUGGACUGUUGGGAGGUGAUGAAGACUAUGGAAAGUGGGACCUGUUGGAGGAACGAGGACACUGAGGGUGUGCCUCUGAGGGGCAUGUUUUGUCUCUAGUGUGUGCACCCUCUCUCCUUCCCCUUCACUCUCAUUCCCUGGACUGCAGAAAAUGAGCAGCUCUGCACCAUGAUACUUCCCACCAGGACAACUGCCUUCCUACCAGCAGAAAAACAAUGGAAUGCCCAUGCACUGAGGCCCCUAAAACUGUGAACCAAGAUAACUCCUCCUUUAAGCUGUGUUUCUUGUGGCCUUUGUCACAGAGAUGGAAAGCUGGCUAAUACCCACCAUCCUCAAAUGGCAGCAGAGGAAACAGAGAAAUCCCUUCAACAUCUUCUUCAGCUAUGAUGAGCCACUGGUUUUAUCUCCACUCCACUCUCUAUGUAUAGAAAGUUUC